AGGAAGUAAAAGUCGUAACAAGGUUUCCGUAGGUGAACCUGCGGAAGGAUCAUUACCGAGUUGAUUCGAGCUCCGGCUCGACUCUCCCACCCAAUGUGUACCUACCUCUGUUGCUUUGGCGGGCCGCGGUCCUCCGCACCGGCGCCCUUCGGGGGGGCUGGCCAGCGCCCGCCAGAGGACCAUAAAACUCCAGUCAGUGAACUUCGCAGUCUGAAAAACAAGUUAAUAAACUAAAACUUUCAACAACGGAUCUCUUGGUUCUGGCAUCGAUGAAGAACGCAGCGAAAUGCGAUAAGUAAUGUGAAUUGCAGAAUUCAGUGAAUCAUCGAAUCUUUGAACGCACAUUGCGCCCCUUGGUAUUCCGAGGGGCAUGCCUGUUCGAGCGUCAUUUCAACCCUCAAGCUCUGCUUGGUAUUGGGCUCCGUCCUCCACGGACGCGCCUUAAAGACCUCGGCGGUGGCGUCUUGCCUCAAGCGUAGUAGAAAACACCUCGCUUUGGAGCGCACGGCGUCGCCCGCCGGACGAACCUUUGAAUUAUUUCUCAAGGUUGACCUCGGAUCAGGUAGGGAUACCCGCUGAACUUAAGCAUAUCAAUACGGGGGGAAACCGGCGGACCGCCAAAAAAGGCAAACAGAAGGGUAAGGGUUAACCACCACUUUGGAGUUGGGAACACGUUCCAGAGCCCGGGACCACGGAAGUCAAACUCGGGUCAAUUGCAUCCCGUUCCGCCAGGGUUUCAAACCUAACGGGAAAACCCUGUUUACAGAACUUUUUACCU
rnacentral:rRNA from 1 species